rnacentral:sRNA from 1 species
AUAUUUUAUAGUUUAAUUUUAUAUAUACUAACAUUAUACAUACCACAUAACAUUUUUGGUUUUAUAUAAUCUUUUCUAAAUUAGGAUGAUUUGAUAUGUUUAAUAUUAAUGGUCUUAAAAAAUAAUAAAUUAAAGAUUUAACCCGUAUUGAAACGGUGAUUUAAUUAUAUUUUACUUUUUUUAUUAAUGUUGAUUCAAAAACCCGUCCCUCCAAAUCCAUCUUGCCAAAAAGCCAUUUAUUUUAUUAAUAUUAAUUUUAUUUAUGAUAUGACUCUAAAUUAUAAUCUAAACAUUUUAGCUAAUAACAUAGAAGUGCACCAUAUUUAUUUAAUAGGGGAAUGUACCAUAUGACCCGAAUGCACUUUUACCCAAAUCCACCAAAAAAGUCUUGCAAAAAUACUAUAGAGAUAAGAAACGAUAGUCGGUUUUGAUAGGUAUAAGAUUAGCAAAUAUAUUAGUUAGCUUAAAUUAGUUAAAGAAUACAAAUUAAAAAGAUAUAUUACACUUUAUUCGAAUAUAGUAUAAAAACUUAUAUAACACAGAGAUUUGAUAAUUUUUUAAUUGUUGAAUACUUUUUUGUGCUAAUUUUUAUGUGAUUAAGAUUUAGUUGAUUUCGUAUAUAAAAUAUUAAAUUGUUUUACGAACUUAUUUGUUUAUAAUUUGGUAACAGAUAGAUAUUUGAAUAUUCAGUAUAUUUUGCUUAAGUUUAGGAAAUCUUUGAUGACCCGUCUUUAAAUCAAAUAAGCCCUAUAAUUAAGAGAUGAACUAGGAUUUAACCCGCGGUUUACCGCGGGCAAUCGGUUUAUUUGGUUCUUAUACUAAAUAUUUGAAUAAAUUUGAUAUCCUAAACUUAUAAAUAUAAAUU